UACGUAGGGUGCAAGCGUUGUCCGGAAUUAUUGGGCGUAAAGAGCUCGUAGGCGGUCUGUCGCGUCUGCUGUGAAAACUCAGGGCUUAACCCUGAGCUUGCAGUGGGUACGGGCAGACUAGAGUGCGGUAGGGGAGACUGGAAUUCCUGGUGUAGCGGUGAAAUGCGCAGAUAUCAGGAGGAACACCGGAUGGCGAAGGCAGGUCUCUGGGCCAUUAACUGACACUGGAGAAGCGAAAGCCAUGGGGAGCGAACAGG
rnacentral:rRNA from 1 species